UCAAUAUCAUUGAUGAUAACUACUCAAUUUUUGACGUUUCCAUGUAUCAUUUGAAAAUGAGUAACUAGUACUCAAACUUUGAGUAACUUUUUCUAAGCGUGUAGAAUGGUUUCAAAUGUCAAAUUGAAUAUUUUACGUGACGAAAAUGAAUGUUAUACGAACAUCCCCUAAAAUGAAUAGAGUCAUCACAUAAGGUUUACGUGAAUUGACCAAACGUCAAACAAUCUACGUGAAUUUCCAGUGUAAAAAACUCGAUUUUGAAAAUGGCGAGCAGUGGCCCUCGAAGUUAUGAAAGUUUCCAUGUGUUUAACUGGACCGAGUGCCUGCGUGAGUCCGGAAGUUUACCCGCUCCUGCCGAAUGCUUCAAACAGGCCGUCGGUGUGAAGCUAGAGACACUGGAACCAUGUAAUGCGACUUCAACCUGCAUCGGUAGUGUUGUGGGAGUUCUUGGAUCUUGACUGCGGCUUCGGUUGGAUGGCAGUGACAACAUAAACGAUUUCUGGAGGCUUGUCGAUUUGAGAUACCACGACGUUAUUAGUUGCUUUUUAAGCCAUUAUAAUUGUAUGACAAUUUUUUGAUAUAAAUGUUUUAUAUUU